CACCGCCCGUCACACCAUGGGAGUGGGUUGCAAAAGAAGUAGGUAGCUUAACCUUCGGGAGGGCGCUUACCACUUUGUGAUUCAUGACUGGGGUGAAGUCGUAACAAGGUAACCGUAGGGGAACCUGCGGUUGGAUCACCUCCUUACCUGAAAGAAGC
rnacentral:rRNA from 1 species